UUUAUUUAUUUAUUUAUUUAUUUUUGGCCUCGCCACAUGGCAGGCGGGAUCCUAGUUCCCUGACCAGGGAUUGAACCUGCACUCCCUGCAGUGGAAGUGCCGAGUCUUUACCACUGUACCACCAGGGAAGUCCCCCUGUCUUCCUGAGUUUAGAAAUUCUUCAGCAACCUUUAAGCUUUCACAAAGCCAGCUCAGCUACUGGUAACUUCCCUUUGUUCCACAGGUCACACCAAGGAACGUACAAUUAGGGAAUACCCUAAUUUUGUGGACUUUGAUACAGACCUCCUUGAUUCAGCCUCUCUGCAGUUCUCCUCUCAGUACUUAUUCUCAACAUUCUUUAAACCUGAGUUCCUAUUUGCCUGCUUAUUCCUCCAUUUUAUUUUAAUUUCCUUUAAACAACUCCUUCACGCUGUAAGAAACAUACAUAUUAAAUUAGAAAAAUUAUAUGAAUUCAUGCCUUUGAAAUAAUGUUUCCAGCUCCAUUUCUCCUAAAAGAUGCAAAUAAUAUCCAGUAGCACAUGUGCAAUACUAAUGACCAGAGUCUAUUUCCCUCUAAAAGAAAUCUGUCUUCUUAGAGAGUGGUUAUUUUUAUCUUGCAUCAGGAAAAUUUAGGACAGGGCUGAAUAUUAUGUUGUUGCCAAAAAUCGGGGGUGGUUACGUUGGCGCCAACAACAACUAGUAACAAAUGGCAUCUGCUGAGGGAAUUCUGCUGGAAAUUAUGACAAUUCGAAAAUGAAAGCAAUGUUAUUAAUAUUGUUAUUUGGAAAAAGUUGAGUCUAUGGAAAGCCAUGAAUUCAUAAUUAUACUGAAAAGAAAAUUAAGAUGAAGUUCAGGAAAAGGCAGUUGAAAUACAAAAGAAGGAUGAACAAAAAUAUACAUCUAAGUUAUCACUGAUUUUAAUGUUAGGGAAGGGAAGUGUAGUAAUUUCUCUUCAUCUAAAUGAGUAAUUUCUCUUCUAUACUAAUGUCAGAUUAUAAAGUAGAGUUGUGUACUUUGUUUUCGUAAGCAGGAAAUUGAAAGCAAUCCAAUCAGUACUAAAACUGUGCCGAGUACAGGAACAAUCAAUCCCAUCUGUAAUUAUUCACACGAAAUGAAAGUUAAACACUUUAAUGGCCAGUCACAUUCUCCAAGUACCAGAAGAGUUCAACAGCAUGGAAGAGAGGUAAUUAAAUAUAAAGGGUUAUAUAACACUGAUAAAUGGAAACUCUAAAAGUCAUGUCAAUUCAGGAGAUACCAGUAUUGCAACAAUACUAAAACCUGUGAGAAGGACAAAAUGCAUGGACAUUUUAAAAAGCAUAUAGAAAGUGAAGCUUUACCAUAAAAAGAGAAGUUCGUUUGAUAAUCAGUGGCUUGGAUUUGAAUCAUUCUCAGAGAGUCAACCAUACUAGGGCCCUACUAAACAUAAAUCAAUCAUCUAAAUUCAGCAAUUUGGGCUAAUUUUUUGCUCAAAAAAACCCUUUAUGAAUACUUAAAGUUGAAAUUCACAUAAUUUUUUUUUUUUUGGCAGUACGCAGGCCUCUCACUGUUGUGGCCUCUCCCAUUGUGGAGCACAGGCUCCAGACGCACAGGCUCAACGGCCAUGGCUCACGGGCCUAGCAGCUCUGCGGCAUAUGGGAUCUUCCCGGACCAGGGCACGAAUCCAUGUCCCCUGCAUCGGCAGGUGGAUUCUCAACCACUGCGCCACCAGGGAAGCCCGAAAUUCACCACUUUAAAUAUAUCAUGCCACUCCCUUCUGGCCUGCAGUAUUUCUACUGAGAAAUCAGCUGAUAGCCUGAUGUGGUUUUCCUGGUAUGUGACUCAUUGUUUUUCUCUUGCUGCCUUUAGAAUUCUCUAUUUUUAACUUUUGCCAUUUUAAUUAUGAUAUGUCUGGUUGUGGGCCUCUUUGGUUUCAUCUUGUUUGAGACUCUCUGUGAUUCCUGCACCUGGAUAUCUUUUGCCUUCUCAGAUUUGGGAACUUUUCUGCCAUAAUUUCAUCCAAUAUAUUUUCUGCCUCUUUCUCUCUUUUCUUCUCUUUCUAGGACCCCUAUAAUGCAAGUGUUAGUGCACUUGAUGCUACCCUAGAGGUCCCUUAAACUGUUCUUAUGAAAAAUAAUUUAUUCUUUAUUGCUGCUCUGAUUGAGUGAUUUCCAUUAUUCUGUCUUCCAGGUUGUGAAAGCGUUCUUCUGUGUCACCUAACCUGUUGUUAAUUCCUUCUGGUGUAUUUUGUAUUUCAGUUACUGUAUCCUUCAUCUCUGAUUGGAUCUUUUUAAUAUUUUCUAGUUCUUUGAGGUUCUCAUUGUGUUCCUCUACUAUCUUCCCACAUUCAGUGAGCAUUUUUAUUACUAUUGCUUUGAGUUUUUUAUCAGGUAAAUUAUUUAUCUCGCUUUCGAUAGGGUUUUUUUCCCUGAGGUUUUAUCUUGUUAUUUCAUUUGGAACAUGUGUGUUUUUCUUCUAAUUUGUUUGGUCUUUUCUGUUCGUCUCUAUGACAUUAGGCAAACAGUUACCUAUUCCAGAGUCUAAACGUGUGUCCUUGUGUGGGAGCAUCUCUGUGUGGUCUGCCUGUGACCAGUGGCAUUGGUGGGAGAGCUGGAUCUAAAGCGAGCACAGCUCAUGUCUUCUCCCUAGGUGAGCUGGCAGCUGCUGUUUUGUUGGGAGAUCGGGCUGGAGUCAGAGGGACUAGAGCCAGAGUUAGGUGUGAGCUGAGGCUUCUUCUAGGCUCAAUGGCAAUUGGUGACCUGUUGGGGGUAGGGCUAGGGCCCAAGGGGCUGGAGACACACUUCUGAGUUGCCACCACUUUCUCCCUGUGCAUGUGAUGGCUGUCUCUGCCUUAGCAGGGACCAGUGCCAGAGCAGGAGGGGAUGGAGCAGGAGGCUUUGGGCAUGCACUGAGGUAGUCCUGGCAGACCGGCCAGAGCGUCAAGCAGAAUCCAAUCUGCUGUCUCUGUUGGGACUGAAAACAAUCAAGUUUGUGUACACGCUCUUGAAGAACGGAGUCUUGGUUUCUUACAGCCCUAUGGGAAGCCCCACUGGUUUUCAAGCCAGCCAAGGGGGCUCGUCUUCCCAGUGCCAGUCCUCAGACCUGGGGUGCCUAAUAUGAGUCUUGUACCCCUCGCUCUUUAAAGAGAAUCCCUGAGCCUGUUUAUACUCCUCUGGGUCACCUGCUAGGGGUGUGGGUCCUGAAUGCAUUGCUUCUCCUGCCCACAUACUAGGCUCUGUGAGGUUCUUUCUUGAUAGCUUGGGUUGUAGAGAGCCAUUCUGCUACUCUUCAAGUUGUUUGCAGUGAGAGUUACUCUAUAUGUAGUGGUAGUUUUGAUGUCUUCAUGGAGGAAGGUGAGUUCAAGAUCCUCCGACUCUGCCUUUUGAUCCCCCUCCCGAGUAUUCUUACUUUGAAAUCUUUAUUAUUUCACACACACCAAAACAUGCAAGAAGCUUUAAACUAGAGACACAGAUUUUAAUUAGCUCCAAUGAUUAUAGCAAUUCUCUCCACACCCCUAGAAUCAAUCAAUUCUGAUACAACCAUGGUGGAUCACUCAUAAUCAAUAUUCUUCAGAAUAUGGAUAGUCAGGGUGAUCAGAAAUGCUGAAAGAGAAGGAGGGAGAUUAAUUUUAUUAACUCUGUCUCACACUUGUCAAGGAGAGUGUUCCUCUGUGGAAGCAGUUAGGAUGCUCUAAAACUCUAAAUUUACAACCAACUCGUUUACAACAUACAUAUAUGCAGGCUCCCGGUGCGUAUGUCAACUGCAUCUUCAUAUCCAGUUCCCACAUUCACAUGCAACAUAAAAGCCACAGUGAUAUCUACCUUGGCUGGAAUUACAAUUUCUAAGAAGGUCUAAGAACUAUAGAUGAAAUGCUAAGGUCACUUCAGCCCCAGGUGGAACAUUUGGCCCUGGAUGAUGGCAAUAAUCACAGUAAGAAUCUUGCUGAUCUUUUUCACACAUCCAUCCAACACAUAAACAUGGAGCACCCCCCAAAAUAGAGGGUGCUCUGUUAAAAAAACUUCUAAUCUCUUGAGAUAUCAUGUACACAUAAGUAACUAUACCGAUAAAAAGGGAUUACUGUUUUCUUAAUUUAUAAUGUAUUAAAACACGGGUUAUCAAGGAAUUAGUAUUACUGCUGUUUUCCUUUUUUUCCAUGUUUUUACUUUUCUUUCUAAGUUUGUCUUUUUCCAUUCAAUUCAUUAAAGAGUGCAUUCUGAGCAAGUCCAUGUGCCGGGAGCCAUGCUGUUGACCUGAGUCCACAAAUAUGAGUAAGUCUAGGCAUUCACAGCCUAAUAAGGAGAACACAGAAGAAUACUUCAAAGAUUUGAGUACAGAAAAGUAACUUUGCACCUGUUUUUUCAUGUAUAAUAUCCUUUCUCUGAAUCAUGAUAUAGCUUUACAAACAAGAGAAAGCGUUUUGACAUCUUUCAUUUGAAACUGUAUCUUUAUCAAUAAUUUGUAUUCCCUUCUCUCUAAACUCCCUUCCAAAUUUCUGUUUGAUUAGUCUUCUUUCUCUUCAGUCCUGAUAUCCUCCUGCAGUAAUUGAACAUGGAAUUCUAUGUUUGUGAAUUAAGUCAAAGUCGAAGAGGUAGGGGCUCCCCAGGGGGUGGACUCCUGAUGGACAAGGGCAACACUGCGGUCAGAGACGGAGCCCUGGAAGAAACCUCUGGUCUGAGGUCUACAGGAAGCCCUGGUUUACUCCUACACUGGAAAUCAGGCCUGCCUUCCUGGUUAGGGAAGCUCAGUUUCUCUGCUGACCUACAUGCUACAGAAAACAAUGUGUGUGGACCUCCCUCCCACCCCACCCCGCCAUCUCACCCAUCUAGGUCAUCACAGAGUACUGAACUGAGCUCCCUGUGCUAUACAGCAGGUUCCCAUUAGCUGUCUAUUUUACACACGGUAGUGUAUAUGUGUCAAUCGAAAUCUCCCAAUUCAUCCCACCCCUCCACCUCCAACCCCCGUGUCCACAAGUCCGUUCUCUACGUCUGCGUCUCUAUUGCUACCCUGCAAACAGGUUCAUCUGUAAGGGGAUAUAUGUAUACAUAUACCUGAUUCACUUCUUUGUACAGCAGAAACUAAUGCAACGCUGUGAAGCAAUUAUACUCCAAUAAAAAAGAAAAAAGAAAACAAUGUGUGUGAAAUAUAUACAAG